rnacentral:lncRNA from 1 species
UCUACCUAUCAGGUGAUGGAUUACAUAUCACUGGUCUCGUGCCUUUACAAAUCAAUCUACCAACAAGGACUUGUUGAGCACCUUCUUUUGGGACCUACAGUGUGCCAGGUGACUGGAGGGCAGCAACCAGAUAGCAAUGUGGCUGCUCUCAGGGGGGACUGCAAGAAAAGACAAAGAAGAGAUGGAGAGAGAGUUGACUGGCAUAAAGACUGCUCAAAA